rnacentral:lncRNA from 1 species
UGAGCAGAAAUAAUUUUCAGUACUUAGUGGUCAUUUCACUGCUAGCUUAUGUGAUUCUAAGGUCACACAUUACCAGCUGAGACUGUUUCACAGCUCAAACCACACAAUCCUACUUGUUUCUUUGCGUUGUUGCAAGUGAAUGUGUGGUUGCACCACAAAAAUGAAAAGUUGGUGCUUUUUUUCUCUCUUAGUUUCAAAUUUCUUUAUUGCCAACACUGACACAAGAUAUGGGAAUAUGCAAAACAAAUGUGGGAAGGACAAUGAGUUUCUGAACUCUUGAAUCCAGAGUGAUCUCCUUCCAUUCCAAGUUCCAUCAAUGUACAGCAUCAAAAUGCACCGUAGAAGCAGGAAAGGUUUGAACUGCUUACUUACAUAUGGGAACACGUGGUAGUAUAAUGUAUACUGGUGGUAUACUUAUUUCUCAUAGUCUUACGUCAGCUUUAUUUUCCUGCAGCAGAAUAAUUUGCUGGUGGACAAACUUAGCAAACUUAUUUACAGACUCCUUUUAAUACCUACGCGUUCAUAUUAUCAUGCUGGAAGCCUGGUAAUAACAGUACAAGUAAAUUCAAGACACUUUUAUAUUUUUUUAAUGAAGAAUUCACCUAAUGAAGAAUGUCUGUUAUUAGCUUUCACAAAAAUUCAGCAUGUCAGAAUUAUUCAUUUCAUGCUCAGUAGGUAGGUUGUAUUCACACAAAAGUGUGUGUCAGAUAGUUACAAAGAUGAAUUGAAUAAUAAUUCAUAUGGAAUAUUUCCUACCUUGUUAAUGCAGUAUCAUCUUUUCUUCUUGCCGGAACUGAGUACAUCUUUCUCUGUUCAGCAAUAGAUAUGGACAAUUUAUGUCUAUUCAAAAGAAAACUCCAGUCAGAAGCUGAGAACACAGUUCUAUUGACUCUUAUGGGAACAGAAUGCUGCACAGUACUGUCCUUCAGAGGCUGUCAAGGUAUCCAGAAUCUCCCAGGAAGAGAGGUUGUGGUGAGGUGAGAGUUGGCCUCUUCUCCCAUGUAACUAGUGAUAGAACUAGAGGGAAUGGCCUCAAGUUGCACCAAGCAAGAUUCAGGUUAUCAAACCUUAUCAAACAUUAUCAAACACUUCUUCAAGAGACAGUGGUCAGGCGCUGGAAUGGGCUGCCCAGGGUGGUGAUGGAGUCACCGUCCCUGAAGGUGUUCAAGAAACAUCUGGAUGCUGUACUGAGGGACAUGGUUUGGAGAGAAAUAUUGGUGAUAGGUGGAUGGUUGGUCUGGAUGACCUUGGAGGUCUUUUCCAACCUUGGUGACUCUAUUCUGUGACUCUGUACCUCAUCCAAAAGAAAAAAUGGCAAAUGGCAAUAUAUAGCUGUUGCACUGGAUCUUACUGCUGGCAAACAAGUAAUAGAGGAAGGUGAAGGCAGUGCACAAAUAGGAGAAAUACGAGCAGUUGCCCUAGAACCACAAAAUGGAGCAAAAAUCAUGUAUGUAGAUUCUUACACUGUGUGGGCUGGUGCCACACAGCGGCUCUGUCAAUGGGAAGCCCUGAAUUGGGAAGUAAAUGGAUCCCCAGUUUGGAGGGAAAAGGAUUGGCAAUUUUUAGUAGACAUAGCCAGGAAAACACCUUUUAAGAUGGGAUGGGUAAAAGCCCAUGCUAAGGAUAAUCAGCCAGCCACAAAAUGGAAUCAAAGAGUGGAUGAGGUAACUAAAAUUAGGAAAAUCCUGACUGGUAUCGGUUGGGAGAACGGUUACAUCAGAUCUUAGGUCAUAUAGGCAAGAAAGCACUUUAUUUUGCUGCACAGAGCAAAGGCUUGACCCUGUCAACUGUUAUCACGCGCGGAACUGAAAUAAACUUAGAAAAUGAAUGGAGUUGGGAUAGUAC